rnacentral:rRNA from 1 species
UACAGAGGGUGCAAACGUUGCUCGGAAUUAUUGGGCGUAAAGCGCGCGUAGGCGGUGACUCAAGUCGGAUGUGAAAGCCCUUGGCUUAACCGAGGAAGUGCAUCCGAAACUGAGUCGCUAGAGUUUGGAAGAGGGUCGCGGAAUUCCCGGUGUAGAGGUGAAAUUCGUAGAUAUCUGGAGGAACACCGGUGGCGAAGGCGACAUCCUGGACCGGUAUUGACGCUGAGGCGCGAAAGCCAGGGGAGCAAACGGG